GGUGGCCUUGACGUCAGGAAGAACAUCCAAGGUACAUCUUACUGUGAUAUUCAGAUAUUUGUCCGAUGCAUAUACAUAUAGUGGUUCCCUUUUUUGUAUGGGUUAUGUUUCAUACCCUUCUCAUAGGCUCCAAAUGGUCUGUUGUCAGCAUCCAAAACAAUGCGUAGAAAUAAUUUUCCUAUGGGUCUUUUAUGAUCUUUACUUUGUAGGUCUGCAAGCACUACUGAUGAUGUUUUUUCAUGUAAAAAAUGAUAUUAUGAGCUCCUGGAAUCUUUCCUGCAUUUCCUGAUGUACAUUGCUUUUGGAACUACUUGUACAGUCCUGUGAUCUUUUUUUCCCCUCUUCCUUCAACAGCACUUAUGUUUUCCUUCUGUCGCUGCAAACUUAUGUACGUUGGAUGGGUAUCUUGGUUCAUUGGAUGGGUUUCUUGUAUCUUAGGAUGUGAUUUAAGCUCAGGGAUGUUGUAGACUUUACACUAGUUAACACGUAAAAGAAGCUCCAAAUUAUAUUUAUUUCCACCGCAAUCCAAAGCCUGUUUCUAGAGAUGCUUAAGCUCAAAAGAAGUAAUCAUUGCUGUCUUUCUCUUUAAUGGAUGUUAUGUUUCCUUCAAUGUUUGCUAAUCAUGCAUUCUUCAGUUCAUCAACUAUGUGACAAAUGCUUGAUUUCAUAUUGAUCUCCGUGUCCUCUGUUUGUAUUUCAUGCAAGCUGAAUUCUUCUUGUGAACUACUAUCUCUGCAGCCCAACCAAAGAGAGGAAGCUCACCAAUGAAUUGAUUUUAAAUGCUGGCCAGUACAACGACAGCAGCUAAGGAGCAGCUUGAACAUGGAUCAGUGGGCUAGGAGAACUGAGUUUGCAAAGUGUCAGAACGCAACAGCUUCGAAGGCCAACUAAUAAAGACAGGAUUGGAAUGUCAGCUCACCAACCAGCGAGUUGAUUUUGAAUGCUGGUCACUAUAACGACCGCAGCUCAGGAGCUUGCUCUUGGAUCAGUGGGCUAGGACAAAUGAGUUUAUAAAUGUCAUAAUGCAUCAGCUUCAAGAUUCUCUGAGAAAGAUAUAGGGGAAAAGAUCUACAUUUACAAGAAUAAGUGCAAGUGCAGUACAAAGUAUGGUUGUAUCAGCCCCUGCUGGAAGUCAAAAUGAAGAGCCUCUGAAUUUGGGCAGUGAAAAUCAAGUUGCAAAUGAAGUGAUUGAUCUGGAGGGUGAGAAUCAGGACAAAAUAGUAGAUGAGCCUGCAAGGAAGAAACCGAAGAAGAUCUCACAUCUGAAUGUUGGGACCAUUUUGAUAAAACUUACAAGAGGGUGGUGACAAAUGGACAGAAAAUUAAGGAAGCAUGGGCCAAAUGCAAGUACUGCACUUAUGAAGCAAAGAGAAAUAGCAAGAAUGGAACAUCAGUCUUCUUGAACCAUAUUAAGAUGCAUAGAGAAAUAAAGACAAUUAAGGAACGGAUAUUGAAUAAGUGGCUGAUCAACUACUUCAGGAGCAAGUAAUUUAGCAUCUAAAUAUCUUAUAUCAUUCUCACAUGGUGUUGCAAGUGGACUGGUUGAAACACCACGUUGAAGAGAAUUCAAGGACGUGUUAUGGGCUUCUACUUGAUCGACUACUUGCCUUUUACAAUAAAUAAAAACUUCAACAGACCUUUGGAUUAAGUAUUUUUUAAGUACAGCCAGUACUGUUUGUUGUUGCGAUAUUGGUGUGAGUUAUGACUUUUAAAAGCUUGGCC